rnacentral:rRNA from 1 species
UACGUAGGGUGCAAGCGUUGUCCGGAAUUAUUGGGCGUAAAGAGCUUGUAGGCGGUUUGUCGCGUCUGCUGUGAAAUUUCGGGGCUCAACCCCGAACUUGCAGUGGGUACGGGCAGACUAGAGUGUGGUAGGGGAGACUGGAAUUCCUGGUGUAGCGGUGAAAUGCGCAGAUAUCAGGAAGAACACCAAUGGCGAAGGCAGCUCUCUGGGACGGUACUGACGCUGAGACACGAAGGCCAGGGGAGCAAACGGG